UACGGAGGGUGCGAGCGUUAAUCGGAAUUACUGGGCGUAAAGGGUGCGUAGGUUGUUAAUUAAGAUAGCUGUGAAAUUCAUGGGCUUAACCUGUGGUUGUCAGCUAUGACUGAUUGACUCGAGUACGAGAGAGGGUAGUGGAAUUUCCGGUGUAGCGGUGAAAUGCGUAGAGAUCGGAAGGAACACCAGUGGCGAAGGCGGCUACCUGGCUUGAUACUGACACUGAAGCACGAAAGCGUGGGGAGCAAACAGG
rnacentral:rRNA from 1 species